rnacentral:rRNA from 1 species
AAACUGAAGAGUUUGAUCCUGGCUCAGAUUGAACGCUGGCGGUAUGCUUAACACAUGCAAGUCGAACGGCAGCACGGAGAGUUUACUCUUUGGUGGCGAGUGGCGGACGGGUGAGUAAUGCAUAGGAAUCUACCUUUUAGUCUAGGAUAACUACCCGAAAGGGUAGCUAAUACUGGAUGUGGACUACGGUUUAAAGCAGGGGAUCUUCGGACCUUGCGCUAAGAGAUGAGCCUAUGUGGGAUUAGCUAGUUGGUGAGGUAAUGGCUCACCAAGGCGACGAUCUCUAGCUGGUUUGAGAGGAUGAUCAGCCACACUGGGACUGAGACACGGCCCAGACUCCUACGGGAGGCAGCAGUGGGGAAUAUUGGACAAUGGGCGCAAGCCUGAUCCAGCAAUACCGCGUGUGUGAAGAAGGCCCUAGGGUUGUAAAGCACUUUUGUUAGGGAGAAUGGGUUUAGUAGUUAAUACCUACUGAAUCUGAUGUUACCUAAAGAAUAAGCACCGGCUAACUCCGUGCCAG